rnacentral:piRNA from 1 species
GAUGUGAUACCCUACNGGCUAUUCAGACCC